GGGGUGGCUGCAGCCGCCGGUCCGGGCACAGCGGCCACACGGUGUCACCCGCGUCCCACCGCCGGGCUCCGACAGGGCAGAGCAGCGAUGCUCUCCGGUGAGCGCUCCGGAACAAGGAAGCGCUGCCGGCCUGGAAUCGCAACCCCUUUUUCACGGCGUUUUUGAGAGCUAGGAUGCUGCCAAGUUUUUCCACCUGUUCUUUCCUUCCCCAUCCAUGAGAAAGUCUCCCAGGAGAGGAAUUACCACGGUCCAGUGCAGCCACAAGCAGGUUAAAAAGAAGGAUCCCAGUCCUGCUGCUGAUGGGUCUCCAGACAGCUUGGGUGUAACUUUCCACUUGGAUGUUCACAGUGUUUGGGAUACAGACAUCGUUUGUCCAGAGAAAGGUUUCUUCCAUCAAGCUCAGACACAUCCUGAAAGAAGUGCAUGAAGACUUGCAUGAGUUGGUGAUUGUGGAGACACUAAAAAGGUGAUGCUCACCAUGUCCUCUCCUGUUGGAAGCAGUAGCCUCAAAAUCCGCCCCCUCACCACCAUCCAAAGCCUCAAGCUAAGUAAGAGCAAUGCCAGGGCAGAUGGCUGCACAGCAGGGCUCUCAGCGUCACUGCUCACUCUUCCCCUACAUGCCCUGUCCUGCUCAGCAGUUUUCCCAUGAACUUAUCUGAGCGGCGCUCUUUGCUUUGUGCUAUGAAAAUCAAAGAUGAGGUGUCCUGAAUGAAAAGCUCACAGUUACCACGAGGUCUGCCUCUCAAUGCGCUGGGAAUAGAAAUGUGGCAAUCAGACUUUGGGAUGAAAUCAUAUUGGACAUGCUGGCUUAAUCUCUAAAGUAUGAAAUUGUAAGGAAGGAAUUACAGCUAAAAAACAUUUCACAUUUUAGAAAGCUUCUCUGACCCAUGCUGGAUCAGGAGAGAGAAGGAAAAGAGGGUAAAAAAAAAAAACAACAACAACCCCAAACCUGUGGAAUUCAAAUGACUGUAGCCAUUUGGGUUAGAAAAAAUCCAUCAUCAAAUAAACAGACUCCUGCACUUGUACUGUGAUGCAUGACUGUGUUUGUAAAGGAAAAGGCUGACUUUGGCUUAUUUCAAUUCUCAGGAUCAGGUUAUUUGCUAUUUGCAAAUACUUGGGUGUUAGCUUCAUGUAUCUUAGCCCAGUUCAUCUCACAAUCGUGUUUAUGUUAGAUAUGGUACAGUACUGAGCUAGCUGCUCUUCCAGUACACCUUUAUUUAGCUGGGCCAUCAGAGAGAAGAAACAAUAGCCCAUAGAUAGCCAGCUGCAGAAGAUGAAUUAUAAGCAGAAAAAUAAUCAUCAAGCAAUUUGUGGGUUCCUUGCUGGAAGACAUUUGCAAUUCAAUGAAUAUUAUCUAAUGUACAUCCAAAACCAGAGACUCUCACUCUUCUAUUCCAUGAGUUGCAAAAAACAGCAACAACAACAAAAAACAACCAAACACCCAAAUUUUAGAAAACUGUAUUAUUCACAUGUCAUCAUAAAGAGAAAGGAGGACUGGGACAACAGUGGCGAUGAGUACUGCCACACUCGAUGGCACACCUUGAGUUCCGUCAUUAACACAAUAGAAUGGCAGCUCACUGUAGCAAUGUUUGAACUGCAUCUCAACUAGAUGGCA
ensembl:lncRNA